rnacentral:tRNA from 2 species
GGUUGUAUGGUGUAGUGGUUAGCACUCCAGAUUCUGAUUCUGGCGACUUGGGUUCAAUUCCCAAUACGACCU